rnacentral:lncRNA from 1 species
UCUGCCAUUAACUAGCUAUGAAACUAUGGCUCAAAAGGGAAUAAGAGAUCAAGGCAAGCAUGGACAUCUUGUACGUGGAAGUGCAGACCAGAACUUGUAUCACAGCCAGUCAUAUCUGGUGCUUUCCAUGCUACUUUUACAUACAUGUAUCCUUAAAUUUGAUCCUCUUCUAGUUUAGUCUAAACUCUUUACUUUGUAACUUCCAAACCUAAAAGGUGCAGCAGACAUUGACAAUCUUAAUUCAUUUGUCAGGUCA